UCGCUGUGCCUUCUGGGAGCUGUAGUGCGACCUUCCUUGGUGCACGCCGCCCUGGGACCGCUUUUCUUCUGCUCUGGGACACGGUCUGUAUCCGGGAGAAGUUUCCCCAGGAAAGGCUAAAUACACUUGGACGCUACUGGUGAGCGAGAGACGCCAGCUUCCAGCUGCUACUGCCAGGCUUUGGAUGAUCCCUGCUUUCUGAGGCGUCCAGAGCAACCCCGUAGGGCCUUGCGGGGCGUGGGAAGGAUUCGCCGGUUGGUCAGUGGCUCUGCCUUCCGUACCCCGCAGGGUUCCGCCCGGGACGCGCGGGUUUAGCUUAGCGGCUGCGGUCUCCGUACCUGUUUGGGUUCUCCGUGGCGCAGAGCACCGUUGCCAUCUGGGCAGGUGGAGGUUAAUUUUCCUGCCUGCCAGGUGCUCGGAAUACCUGUCAUCUGUGGACCAUGGGGCUGUGCGACACUCAAAACCAGCUCUCUGCACUUCCAACUGUGUCACACUCCCAAGGCGUCUCCUUUAGUUAAAUGGUUUCCCCAAGGUCACCUUUUUGUAAUCGCCAUAGUUUGGGCUACAGGAUGAGACACUAUCUCCACAAACAAGGAAGCCAAUACUCUUAAAAACAAACAAAACAAACAAACCUUUCUUGAUUUUGUUUCCUAAUGCUGCUUUGUGGUCAGAAUUGAGAAGAAACAUUUUAAAAUUAGGUGCAGGAAGAGAUCCCCUUUCCGCCCCCCCCCCCCCAUGUUUAAUUUUGGAUCAAAUUCAGCUGGUUCAGACCAAGAACAAAGUCUAUAGUCCAAAGAAAAAGAAAAAUCCUCCUUACUUGACAUUUGAAUUUGGGAGAUCAAUUUGAUAAUAAUGAGAUAAGAGUAACCAAGGUUAACCAGUUGUUUUACAGAUUCUUUUGGAAUGGAUUUAGAGCCGACAGGAUGCAAAUAAAGCACGUGAAUGAAAGCCAGAUUUUAUAUUGUCACAUUAUACCUGACUUCUAGUGUAGAUGCUUUUUUUUUUUAACCAAAGAAAAAAUUGUGCUAAGGAAAAGAAACCUCUAUUUUGGAGCCCCGUCCGUUAUAAAUAUGUUCCGGCUACGAAGCAUCUCUUUACUCUCUUGGAGAGCAUUUCCGCUCCGCCCCUUCAGUUGUGAGUCAUUAAUUACUCAGAUGCAGAAGUGUACAAACGAAGAACAAGUGUUUGACCUUAUUGAGACGAAUACGGCAACGCUCUCCGAACAGCAAGUGGGCUGUGCGUUUAAUGUACUUUGGCAGUUUCAGAAGCAGAAGACCGUCUUGGAAAAAAACGUUGACCAUGUUAGAAACCAUCCUCAGUUUCUUACUCUUUGCAGCAUUACAACAAAUCACAUCCCAGCAAUGAGUGAUGCUACCCUGGUGGAUGUGUUAUACAGCAUAAAGCAGUUUGCAGUUGAAUCCCAUCACCCACUAAUCGAAGCACUGGUUACAGAAGCAUGGAAAAGACUGGAAAGGUUCGAUACUAAUGUGCUGUCCAUAUUUUCCACUUGCUUGGCCGAUCAGCAUCUGUAUUUCAGUCCAUUAAUGGGAAAAAUAGCUGAUAUUGUAAAUAGGAGACUGGAAACCAUCCAGGACUUAAGGGCCUUAUCUGUCUUAAUGGUCAGCAUUUCUUCAUUAAUAUCACCGUGUUUCCAGGAACGACUGGUGAUCAGAACAGAACUUCUUUUUGACACUGUAAAUUCUUCCAAAGUCAACAUUGCAAGAAGGAUAUUACUGUUUCUUCGAAAUGUCAAAUACAGUCAUUACCCACUGUUAGAGAGGUGUAAUCAAGUGUUUAUAAGGAACAUGAGCCAUCUUGAUCUGGAGUCCAUCAGUAAAAUCCUUAACCUGUAUCAGUUUCUACAGUUCCACAGCUUUGAAUUUGUUGAAGCAGCUCGAGGGAGGCUGGCUGAGAUGACCCUCCCUUCUGAUCAUCCUGAAAGCUUUGUCCGGUUGUUUGCCGCUCUGGGGCCGGUGGCCAGACCUGAGAUAAAGAAACAGCUUAAAUCAACUAUACUACUGCUGUCAGAGGAGCUGAGCAGCCAGCAAGCGCUGAUCGUGUUGGGAGCAAUGGAAGAUAUGGAAAGCAGAAAUUCACACUUGCUUAAAAAGAUUGUUUCUGUUCUGUACAAACAUUUGGAUAACUAUAAAUCGAUAGAGCUAUUGAAGAUAAUACAAGCAUUGACUUUUCUACAUUUUCAAAGUAAGGAGCUUUUUAUGAAACUCAGAGAAUUACUUCUCAGUCGUUUGGAAGCUAGUGUCAUACCCAGUGAGAUUUCUGUUCUGGUCUCUGCUCUGUCCAUGCUUCCACAUCCGCACCUCAGUGAAACAGCGGUCUCCCGGAUUGAAGCAGUUCUACCACAGUGUGACUUCAGGGAACUGAAUGACUUGGUAGUAUAUCUCAUGCGCUGGAUUCAGAGUGAUCUCGUCUGCCUGGCUAGUACUACUGGAAAGCAACUGGACCUCCUUCAAAAACUAGAUCAACUGGGCCGUCACCGGCUGCAACAGAGCACCAACUUGGAUCUUCUGUGGGAGGAGCUCAAGUCUUUGAAGGGAGAAUGGCUUCACGAAUCCUUAGUUGAAGAAUCCAUCGCUGCUUUACUGCGUUUCAUGGAUGAAAUAGAUUACAGCAAUAUUGCCAAGGUCGCGUCUUUUCUUUCCAGAACUAACUACCUCAACACUCUGCUGCUGGAUAGGAUCGCUUCAGUGGCCAUUCAGCAGGUUGAAAAGCAUUCUGAACUAUGAUCCACCUCAAAAGGAUGAAUUCUUUGGAGCGUGUGUCCAAUGCUGUAAUUCUUACUUAGGUACAUUGGAUCCUGGUACAUUAGUGUUUCUUGGUUUUUCUUUGGCCGUACUUGAAUAUUUUCCAGAAGAUCUGCUAAAGAAAAUGUUUAACAUCGAGUUCCUUGCCAGAUUAGAUUCCCAGCUUGAAAUUUUACCUUCAAGUCUGAGUGCAAGGAUCCAGUUCCGCCUCAUGGAGUUAAAUAGAGCAGUCUGCUUGGAGUGCCCCGAGCUGCAGGUUCCAUGGUUUCAUGACCGCUUUUGUCAGCGACAGUUUAACAAAGACACUGGUGUUAUGAACGGAGCCCAACAACAGAUCUAUAAAAUGUUAGCAGAGGUCCUGGGAGGACACCAAUGUGUGAAGCCUUCCGCUCUUUCACCGUAUUACCACACAGUGGGUUUUGAAUGCAUUUUGGAUAAACGAAAAAAACCUCUGCCUUAUGAAAGCCAUAGCAUAGCUCCCAGAAAAUCCCUGGGCAUGCACUGGGAUUCAAGAGUUGAGCCAAGGCUUCCACCAGAAGCUGAGAGGAUUGCUAUAGAACUUUUGGAUGUAAGAGCCUUUUGUUCAAACAUUCCUCA